rnacentral:rRNA from 1 species
CACGUAGGGCGCGAGCGUUGUCCGGAAUUAUUGGGCGUAAAGAGCGUGUAGGCGGCUCGGUAAGUCCGCUGUGAAAGUCCAGGGCUCAACCCUGGAAUGCCGGUGGAAACUGUCGAGCUAGAGUCCGGAAGAGGCGAGUGGAAUUCCUGGUGUAGCGGUGAAAUGCGCAGAUAUCAGGAGGAACACCAAUGGCGAAGGCAGCUCGCUGGGACGGUACUGACGCUGAGACGCGAAAGCGUGGGGAGCAAACAGG